rnacentral:rRNA from 1 species
UACGUAGGUGGCGAGCGUUAUCCGGAAUUAUUGGGCGUAAAGAGCGCGCAGGUGGUUGAUUAAGUCUGAUGUGAAAGCCCACGGCUUAACCGUGGAGGGUCAUUGGAAACUGGUCGACUUGAGUGCAGGAGAGGAGAGUGGAAUUCCUAGUGUAGCGGUGAAAUGCGUAGAUAUUAGGAGGAACACCAGUUGCGAAGGCGGCUCUCUGGACUGUAACUGACACUGAGGCACGAAAGCGUGGGGAGCAAACAGGAUUAGAUA